GUCCUCCCUUUGGCAGCACAUAUACUAAAAUUGGAACAACACAGAGAUUAGCACGGUCCCUGUACAAGGAUGACACACACAUUGGUAAAGCAUUGCAUAUUUUU